rnacentral:rRNA from 1 species
GGUCCCGCCUGCCCUGUGACUAUAAGUUUAACGGCCGCGGUAUUUUGACCGUGCGAAGGUAGCGCAAUCACUUGUCUCUUAAAUGGAGACCUGUAUGAAUGGCACGACGAGGGCUUAACUGUCUCCCCUUUCCAGUCAGUGAAAUUGAUCUCCCCGUGCAGAAGCGAGGAUAACUACAUAAGACGAGAAGACCCUAUGGAGCUUUAGACAUCAAGGCGGACCAUGUUAAGACCCCCAGUCAAGAGGAUAAACUUAUUGGAACCCACCCCCCUGUCUUCGGUUGGGGCGACCACGGGGAAAAGCAAAACCCCCGCGCGGAAUGGGAGGAAGUCCUCCUAAAGCCGAGAGCCACCGCUCUAAGAAUCAGAAAUUCUGACCAUAAUGAUCCGGCAAAGCCGAUCAACGAACCAAGUUACCCUAGGGAUAACAGCGCAAUCCCCUUUUAGAGUCCAUAUCGACAAGGGGGUUUACGACCUCGAUGUUGGAUCAGGACAUCCUAAUGGUGCAGCCGCUAUUAAGGGUUCGUUUGUUCAACGAUUAAAGUCCUACGUGAUCU